rnacentral:lncRNA from 10 species
UGCUGGGAUCAUUCUCACGAUUUCACCUUCUAUCUACAAGCUUAAGACUCCCCAAAUUUAUAUCUAUCUCUACAUGUUUAAUGGAUGUCUUCACUUAAAAGUCAUCAGGCUACUCCUGCUUUCUGAAAUACAUUUGCAUACUGUUUGCCAACUCCUGUCCUUGAAGUCAGAUGCCAACACUCCCCAAAGGUUUGAUGCUCUUUGUACUGAUGUCCUUUGUACAUGCCCUUUGUAUGUGGCAUAUUUCUAUCUGAAAACCACUCAAAUGUAUUUAUCAAGUGUUUACAUAUAAUUGCAAAAUGGAAGAAAACUCCAAGUUUAAAUAGUCAAUCUACCAAUUUAUUCUACCAAGGUAUUAUUGAAAACAUGAUAAUAUAUCAUUGACAUUUGACGCACACAUGUAGAUAAUUUAAGGACCACUAAAUAUAAUUGAGAUCUAAGAGAAAUUGAUAUUUGGUAAAUUAGAGACCUAAUUAUUUUUAUGGUUCUUUUAGCAAUGCAGCGAUACAUUCAACAUUUGAUGUUAUGAUAAAAUUAGAUUUGUACUCAUUCUGUAUAUUUGAGAAAUUUAUUGGUAUCUUGUAAUCAGGUAUUAUUGGAAUCAGGAUAUCAGUCAGUUUUGUAGGUCUAUAGUUGUCUUGAUUACAUAUUUUCACUAAGCGUUUUUAAAAUAAAGUAAAUCCUAGCUUUAAUCUCCACUUGGUUCUAUUUUAAAUAUCAAGCUAUAUUUAGAAUAAUAAAGUCAACUCUCAGUCAUAUGUCUCAGAUACUCAUGCUAGCAUGAAAUUACACAGGCAGAUUUCCCCAGCUUUGGAGAAAAGAUAAAUGGGACCCUGUUAUCUUGAAUUUGUUGCAGCAUUAUACCAGACAAUAGCCAAAGCUAAGGCCAGGUUUUGUUAAUUAUAUAGAUUUUGAGGCAAAGCUUUGCAUACGGAAGGGUCUGUAUUAUUUUUCUAUAGUUUAAAGCUUUAAUACUAUGCAGUUCAUUUUCUAGCAUGCAUAAGCUGCUCUGUAAUAGAGUUUCAACAGUUUCAUUUCUUUUUAUGGAAAAGCAAGUUUCUGACUGUAUCAGGACAAAGUACAUCAACAGUCAUCAAAAAGAGGAAAAGAAAACUUCUAUUCCACCAAUAAUAUUUAGUCUCUUGCUUAAAUCCUGAUUUUAGGUUCACACCUAUUUACUGAAUUCUGUCUGGCUAUUUGUUUUUUACUGGAUAUUUCUCUGAGGGUUACUUGUCAGGUCUUUCUUCCUUGUUUUGGUUCAAAUCCCCACCUUAACCUCUAUAUUUGCACCAUUUUGUAUCCAAUUUAGAAAGAGAUAUUUUACUUACAAAUCAGAAACUAGAAAGAACUCACUCAGAUCACACUUUCCUAAACUGUGAAUAAAUAAACUUUGUUCAUAAAAUUAUUUAGGAAUGUAUCUGUAGUCACCUUGUAAGAGAUAAUAUUGAAAAUAAAAAUUCACAUUAAUGGUAGGAGCUGAUUGAAUCCGUUCAUUCCGACAGCAAUGUGGGUCUUAAGAAGAUAUUUUUAAAUUUCCUCCUCUUUAAAAAAGGAGAUUUAAAUCUUUCUGCAAAGGAGAAAGACUACAUAAUCUGUGAGAGUCCAAGAAUUCAGGGUACAUAUACAGGGAAGCCAAGUAGAGCAAGUCAGAGACAUCAGUGAUCAUGUUCAACAGAAGAGGUGCCCUUUAUAUGAGCUUGUGCAGGUCAACACACUGAGAUAUUUAAAAAUUUCAAGGAGCCAGUCAGUGUUGGGGAAACUUAGAAGCAGGGUUACUUUGCUUCAGAACAGAAUUUGAUGGGCCCUUAUUUUUAAGCUCCAAAACAUGCCUUUCAUUUUCCUAAAAUAGUAUAUAAUUUAUGGAUUGGCAUGUGACAGGUUAAAGACUAAGAAUGAAUGGUAGAGGAGAGGCAUGGAAAUCAUUUAAUGAGCUCAAUUAAGGACAGUUACCUGUAUUCGACAGAAUAUAUGUUAGCCCGAUAACUGGGUCAGCAAAGAUUUUGAGCAUGAGGUUAUGUAACAUUUAAUAAUCAGGGUUCUGGUUUCAUCUAGAACUAACCUACAUAAACAGCAGCAAAGACAGAUGGCUCAUAUUACUUUUUAUGUGCCUUAAAACAUUUUUACAUGGUUUGUACUAAAUUAAAAAAAAUACUGCAGCAUCCUCCUGAACAUAUAAAUAAAACUUAGGAAAUCAAUACAAAAAUCACUUUUACAGGUUGAACAUCUCUAAUAUGAAAUAAAAAAUCCGAAAUGCUCCAGUUGUUGAGUGCUGACACGAAACCACCAGUGGAAAAUCUCACACCUGACCUUAUGUGGCAGGUCACAGUCAAAACACAGUCAAAACUUUGUUCCAUACACAAAAUUAUUUAAAAUAUUGUAUAAAAUUACCCUUAGGCUAUGUGUAUUACUUGUAUAUGAAACACGAGUGAGUUUUGUGUUUAGAUUUGGGUUCCAUCCACAAGAUACGCCAUAUAUGCAAAUAUUCCCAAAUCUGAAAAAACCUGGAAUCUGAAACAUUUCUGGUCCUAAGCAUUUUAGAUAAUGGAUACUCAACCUGUACAUAAUCUUUCUUGUAGAUGAGAGAUUGUUGAAACAAGCAGAAAGAUUUUUAAUCACCCAAAUGCUAAUAAUAACAAAUUUCCCCAUGAAAUCACUGAAUCAAGCUCAUUUGUGCACUUCUU